UACAGGGGGGGGCAAGCGUUGUUCGGAAUUACUGGGCGUAAAGGGUCUGUAGGUGGCCAACUAAGUCAGACGUGAAAUCCCUCAGCUUAACUGGGGAACUGCGUCUGAUACUGGAUGGCUUGAGUGCAGGAGAGGAAUGCGGAAUUCCAGGUGUAGCGGUGAAAUGCGUAGAUAUCUGGAGGAACACCGGUGGCGAAGGCAGCAUUCUGGACUGUAACUGACACUGAGAGACGAAAGCCAGGGGAGCAAACGGG
rnacentral:rRNA from 1 species